rnacentral:rRNA from 1 species
GCGUAGGAACCUACCUAGUAGUUUGGGAUAGCCAUUGGAAACGAUGAUUAAUACCGAAUACGCCCCACGGGGGAAAGCGGAGGAUCUUCGGACUUCGCGCUAUUAGAUGGGCCUGCGUAAGAUUAGCUAGUUGGUGAGGUAAUGGCUCACCAAGGCGACGAUCUUUAGCUGGUCUGAGAGGAUGAUCAGCCACACUGGAACUGAGACACGGUCCAGACUCCUACGGGAGGCAGCAGUGGGGAAUAUUGCACAAUGGGCGCAAGCCUGAUGCAGCCAUACCGCGUGUGUGAAGAAGGCUCU